rnacentral:rRNA from 1 species
UGAAUACGAGACGCUAAGGCGUCGAAGUAGUGUAUGUCAUACUUCCAAGAAAAGCUUGCACUGUCAUAGAUAAAAAACGCCUGUACCAUAACCGACACAGGUGGGUAGGUAGAGUAUACUAAGGGGCGCGAGAUAACUCUUUCUAAGGAACUCGGCAAAAUAACUCCGUAACUUCGGGAGAAGGAGUGCCUUAUUCGUAAGGUUGCAAUAACAAGAUCCAAGCAACUGUUUAUCAAAAACACAGGUCUCCGCUAAGUCGUAAGACGAUGUAUGGGGGCUGACGCCUGCCCAGUGCCAGAAGGUUAAAGAAGUUGGUUAGCAAUUGCGAAGCUGAUAACUGAAGCCCUGGUGAACGGCGGCCGUAACGAUAACGGUCCUAAGGUAGCGAAAUUCCUUGUCGGGUAAGUUCCGACCCGCACGAAAGGCGUAAUGAUUUGGAUACUGUCUCGGAGAGGGGCUCGGUGAAAUAGACUUGUCUGUGAAGAUGCGGACUACCUGCACCAGGACAGAAAGACCCUAUGAAGCUUUACUGUAACUUGAAAUUGAAAUUGGACUUUAUUCGCGCAGUAUAGGUGGGAGGCGUUGAUUAUAAUCUUGUGGGAUUAUUGGAGCCAUCAGUGAGAUACCACUCUUGUAAUGUUAGAUUUCUAACUUUGAAUCAUUAUCUGGUCAAAGAACAGUUUCAGGCGGGCAGUUUGACUGGGGCGGUCGCCUCCUAAAGGGUAACGGAGGCGUACAAAGGUUUCCUCUGAACGGUUAGAAAUCGUAUCUAGAGUGUAAAGGCAUAAGGAAGCUUGACUGUGAGACCUACAAGUCGAGCAGGGACGAAAGUCGGUCUUAGUGAUCUGACGGUACUGAGUGGAAAGGCCGUCACUCAACGGAUAAAAGUUACUCUAGGAUAACAGGCUGAUCUCCCCCAAGAGUUCACAUCGACGGGGAGGUUUGGCACCUCGAUGUCGGCUCAUCGCAUCCUGGGGCGGUAGUACGUCCCAAGGGUUGGGCUGUUCGCCCAUGAAAGCGGUACGCGAGCUGGGUUCAGAACGUCGUGAGACAGUUCGGUCCAUAUCCGGUGUAGGCGUUAGAAUAUUGAGAGGAGCCUUCUUUAGUACGAGAGGACCGAGAAGGACAUACCUCUGGUGUACCAGUUAUCGUGCCAACGGUAAACGCUGGGUAGCUAUGUAUGGAGUGGAUAACCGCUGAAAGCAUCUAAGUGGGAAGCCCACCUCAAGAUAAGUAUUCUC